rnacentral:snRNA from 1 species
AUCAUAUCCUAGCCUUUUGGCUAAGAUCAUGUGCAAUAUCUUUUCUUAUCAGUUUACUAUUU